GUGAGUGUUUAUUUAUCUAUUCAUGUACAGGAUGUUUUUCCUGUUAUUCCUGGAGAUACAGACUACAGAAUUUUUGCUAAUGAUUACGGCAAGAUUCCUGGACUGGAUGUGAUAUUUCUCCUUGGUGGUUAUUUUUAUCAUACCUCCUUCGACACAGUGGAAAGACUAUUGUAUGCAUUACAAUUGCUAUUUUGACCUGGCAGCAUCCAAGUCCGCGGGGAUAAUUUGUUCAGUGUAAUUAAAGCCUUCACCAACUCUUCUAAGCUACAAAAUGCCCUUGAACGAGAAUCUCUUGGAGUUGCAGCCAAUGAAUCCGAUAAUGAACGAGCUGUUUUCUUCGAUUACUUAGCAUGGUUCUUGAUAUUCUACACCAGAAAGCAAGCUGUGGUACUUCACAGCAUUCCUGUUGCCAUCUACCUAUUUAUGCCCUUCUUAUUGCGCUUAGCAAAUGAUGGGUUAUCUUGUUCGAUCGCAACAUUUUAUGACUUCAUUAAAGGAAUGUUGGUCCAUGCUGCUGGGAUCAUUCUUGCAGCUCUUUUUCCAGUGAUCUGUGCUAUCUUGAGAUUGCUUGUCACUGGUCAUUCAAUGAACUGGUUUGCUCAUCCGUUCUUAGCUUUCAUGAUGUUCGUACCAUGCUCACUUGUUGGUCUACUGAUUCCAAGAAUUGUUUGGAGAUGUUUUCCUCUCUCUCAAGAUGUGUCUGUUCUUAAAGCAUCAAGAGAGGUAUAAGUUUUGCUCUAAAC